GCCGCCACCUCCGCCCGCCCCAGCGCGGGGACCGGGCGGGACCGGGCGGGACCUUGCGGGCGGGGAGCGGCGGUGCGAGCUCGUGUCGAGGGGAACAGGGCGCAACACAGAGAAAUGAUGGUACAAGAUGGGAUAUCCUGGAAAUCAAAUACAGAGCUUGGUGCUGGCAGGUCUCUGCUAAGUCAGGAGCUGCUCACUCCGUGUUGGAUGAGUGCAGUGUCACGUGUGGGGAAAGCUGCACGCUGUGAGCUCCUGCGGAGAUGAUGAUGAGGAACAUUCCCACUCCCAUCCCAGGAGGAUGGCCCCACAGCCAGGGGCAUUGGACCACUGGGAUGUCCCUAUGGAAUGCUCUCUGGAGGACAUUUGUCUGUGGGGUGAGUGCCAGCCUGCCAGCCUUGCCUGCAUGCUCCCCUUUUCCCUGGCUGUGCCUUUAACUGGGUGUAGCCCAGCUGAGCCUGUUUAAUGCCCUGGUAGGGUUUGUGCCUUGUCAGCACUGGAUUAGCAAGCCGAGUUUUGCAAUGGCCAGUGGUUGUGGGGCUGCUGGUCCUGAAAGGCUGCAUGGCUUAGAGACAGAGUUUAUGAAGGUUUUAUAAUUUUAAUAGAAUAUUUAACUAAUAGAAUAUGUAACCAGUAAACUAUUUAACCAACUUUAUUUUUAACAAACUUUACUUUUAAAGAAAAAAAUGCUUUACUGAUGUCCCAUUUGCAAGAUGUUUUAUUUUUCAAGAACCUUUUAAAAGAACAGACAGUAUGUAGUGGAUCUUCAUUGGAUCACUUGAGGUGCUCAUUUUAAAAGUAACAAGUUUGUUCUUAGGAAGAUCUUGUUGAGGAGCAAGAAACACAUUUCCAUAGUAAUUUUAAUUUGAAGGCUUUUUAAAAAUAGAAUUCUAAUUCUGCUUAUUCAGAGAAAAUCCAGAAAAUGCUGUACAGAGCUGGUGUCAGCCCUGCUGGAUUUUCAGGAGUGGUGUUUCCUUGGUUUGUGUCCCUGCUGUGUGCUGUCACUACUCAAGUGUCACCUUUCCUGCUGCUCAUGAUGUCACUGCAGUGUUGGUGGGUUUUUGUCUUUGACACAAAUGUUUUUUCAAGGAACUGGAAAAAAGAUGGUAAAAGCAAGGCCCCAAAAACUCCAUUGCAUGGACCACUAAUUUAAAAAACCCAAUUUGUGGUUUACUGGUCACUGUAACACAAAACUAAAAUUAAGACUGAAGCAAAUGUGGAUUGCAGGGUGUGAUGAAACUCUAUUUGUGUUGCUCACAAACACCAAAGCAGAGCUAAAAAUCUUUUGUAACCUUUUAGUAUAUUAGUACUUCUUGGUAGACUUCAAUUUUCAGCAAAUUCCGUUGUGGCACUUUCAUUUAAAAGGCAGCUAAAAAGGGGGAAGAUGUAAUUUCAGUCUCACCUUUGUGAGUGUGAAGAAUUCAAAACUCCAUCUUCUGACUCCCUACAAACAGCCUAAUUACUGGUUGAACACUCACAGAUCAGAAAGAGAAAAUAAGAAUUUACUGUGAAGGCCAGUGAGAGUCACCUGGGGCUCUGCUCUGUGUUUUUAUUGAUUAGCAAAGAUAAACUGCCAGUUUCUCCCUCCUAAGCACCUCCAUCCCUCACUAGAUCCAGGCUCCAGGGGAUUUCCAGGGAUCACAAGCUGAGCCUUUUCUGCGUUUGCCUGUUGUACAUGAUGAGGAUUAAUGGUUGUUACCACCUGCAGAAAAUCUUUGAUCUUUAUCUAAAGCAGGAUCAGUGUUUACCCAGGACUGUUCCCUCCUUACUUCAACUUGCACUGAAACCGUUUGCACAGUGCUGUUGCUAACUCUAAAGUAAUUCGUCUCUCAGAAGUCUUUUAUCACAAAACAUUUUUUUUUCUGUGAUCAUUAUUUUCCCAUUUAGAAAAAAAAAAAAACCCAAAAAAACCCAAACCAAACAUGGCAAAGCAAAUGCCUCUGUGUCAGCCAGGCAGUAAUGGACUCUUUGUGGACACUAUCAGGAAAUGUGCCUUUUGUUUUCCUGCACCUGUUGCUGAAUUACAAAUAAAAUAAUCCAAUGCUUUAUUAAAUAAAAUGAGAAGCCCUAAUGAAAUUGUACCAGCCAUUACCAGGAAGUGUAUUGAAAACAUUCAGCAGCUGCUUCAGUCUCAGUUCACUUACACUGACAGGAUUGUUUCCCCCUUCCCUUGUGCUCUGAUUGAGAAGGGCACAGUGCCUUGGACCACCUCACACCACCCUGCUCUCUCUCCCUGGGGAGGAUUUGGUCAGAGUCAGUAAUAAAUGAUGCUCAACAAUUAAGUACCUUGGACUUGUAGAAGUUUUUUAGAAACCAGCAUCCCGGGCCUUGCAUCUGAGUGUUUUUCAAACAUCACCUUGUCCUGAAAGUAAUAAAACAGCUAAAAAUCUCCUCUGGUUCUGAUUCUAUAGGGAGGGGAUGGUCAGAAAGGUUGAGAAUUAAAUCAGUGAGUCCUUCUCAUUAGACAAAAUACCUCAGCAGCCUGAGGAACGCCCUGGAGGGGGCUGGGGGUCAGCCUGGCUGCAGAGUUAAAUGUCACCACCUCCUUCACUAAAGGUCUCCAAGAGAAUUGAUCUGUCUCUGCUGUAUUUAAAAGUCAAAACAUCUACCACAGCAGUGCUGGUAAGUAGGUGGAGACUCUUUCCCAGGACAGACUGUAAUUCCUAACAAGAGCUAAAAGGUGAGUCCUGCACUAUUGUCUGUGCUAAGCCUUGCAUGAAAACCACUGCAAAGUUGCAUCUCAUCUGCUUUGGAUCUUGGGAAAUGUUUGAUACAGACUUACACAAAGAGUGUAACAAAGAAUGGUGUUCAGACAUGCACGAUUCAAGGUUUGGUUUUAAAAAUGUUUCAGCUAGAUGAAAUGUCAGCCAAGGAGUAAGGGAUGCAGCCCUCCCUUCCCACUGCAGCUGGGAAAGGAAUAGCUGGGAAAGGGUAGAAGGAGCAGAGGGAGGACAUGCAGGUCCUGAGCACUGAGUGUGAGCAGGAAAUUAGGAAAUUAUCUCCAGAAUCUGUCUCCUGCUCUGGUUUUGUGGUGGCUCAGAUUUGUGGAUCUACUCUGAAUUUAUCCCAGUACAACUCCUUGAAGAGUCUAGACUCAAAUAUAAGGCAAACACAACCUUUCUAGAACUCCAGGAAAUCAUACAUAUAGAACUUCCCUGCUGGAAGAUUUGAUCUAAGUCAGGAUAAGGCAAAUUUUGGGGAUGUGAGGGAGGGGAAUGAUUGGUCCCUGUUUCAAACACCUGGGCUGUGUCAUCUACAGUCUGGCCUAAUCAGGACCAAGAGCUCAUUGAGGUGUCCCAGAACCUAAAAGGUGUCUUUGUUCUCACCAUGGCCUCUCCAGGGAGGGAAACAGGUAUGCACAUAGUGACACUUUUUCCCCAGUUCUAUUUUUUCCAGGUGUUUUUUAGGUGUAUUUUAUUUUGUAAAUUGCUUGUGUUUGGAGCGGGAUAUAGAAAUUUUGGCAAGGAGACUUCAAGGGGUGGCCAGCUCAGCAGCUGCCUGAGGGAGGCACAGGAGAGGAAAUGGGAUUGUUCUUUAAACUGAGCUGACUUGAACUGAUUCUGCCAACAGGUCCAGGAGGGAUUCUGGCAGGACUUCCAACUUCUGCCAGUCAAUCACCUGCAGCUGGAAGAGGAUGUUUUCCUGUUGCUCAGGGCUUUUUAUGCCAUCUGUGAGGCUGCAACAUUGCUUUGCUGUUCCUGUGACCCUGUCAGGAGAGAAUUACAUCCUCAGAGGAGCUGCAGAGAGCCCUGGCAAGGCUCUGAGGGCUCAGUGCCACAGUGAGAACUGCCAGGGAUUGCAGGAAGGAACAUAAAAGCUAAGCCUGGCAGGUGUUUUCCAUUUCUCCAGUUCAUUUUACAUUGUCUACAUUUAGUGUUUACAUGGGGCAGAUGCUUCUGCCACCUCUCCUGAGUCCUGGGAGAGUGUAAUGAGAGCAAACUGAGGAACUGGACAUUCUCCAGUUCCCUUUAUCUGCCCUUCUUCCUGCAGUAUGAUUCUCAGAAAGCUUCAGCCAGUGUUAUUCCAAACAGAAGAAGGCCUAAAUGAACUCUA